AGCUAUAUAUUAAAGAGAUUUAUUUAUAUAAAUAGGUUUGCUAGCUGAUUGUGUAUAUACGCAGGCCAAUGCUUCUAAUUUCAUAGCAAGCUCGCUUGCUGUGAAAUAGGCAACCAGUAAUAUAAGCAAGUGUGUGCUAUUUAUAGCGCUAGCCUACAAACCUAUAAUUAUAUUAACUCUAAGAGAAAUUUAAUAAUAAACGAAGUGAAUUGAAAUAUCUUAGUAACUUUAGGAAAAGAAAUCAAAAGAGAUUCUAUGAUUAGCGUGAGCUAAAAUAGACUAGCCUAAAAAGUCAAAUGGUGGAUAAACUGUUUAAAUUAAAUGGGGAACCUUCCUCAAAGGCUAAAUAUAAUGUAUAAGCGAUAGUGGAAAGUACCGUGAGGGAACCAAAACAAAAACAGUGAUUUUAUAAGCAGUUCGGGAAAAAUAAAAAAAAGUUAGAACGUACCUUUUGCAUAAUGGGUCACCAAGUUAACAUUAGAUGCGAGUAGGAGGCUUUGCCCAUACAUACGUAGUUAAACCGAGCGUUAAAAUAACGGUAAGUAUCUAAAGUUAGACCCGAAGCCUGGUGAUUUUACCAUAAUCAGGAUUAUAAAAGUCCGAACGGAAUAUUGUAGCAUAAAUAUCCGAAGAAUUAUGGUAGGUGUAGUGAAAGACAAUACUGACCAGGAUAGCUGGUUUUCUGCGAAACCUAUAACAGUAGGCAAUUUAAGUAUAAUAUCUUAGCAGGUACAGAAUUUAAUCUCAGACAAGACAUAAGGCUUAGCUUGCUAGCAAGUAAAGCUCAUGUUUUAUUUUGUACAAAUUGGGGGAUCAUGAAGAUUUUAUCAGUGAGUAUGUAGACUCGGAAUGGCAAAGAUAUAUCUUAAAUCAUCAGACAUAGAAUGAUAAGGUUGUAUGUCAAAAGGGAAACAGCCCAGAACAAGAGUUAAGGUUCCUAAAUUAUUAGUUGAGUGAAAUUAAGAAGGUUUUUAUUAAAGUCGACAAGGAGAUAGGCUUAGAAGCAGCCAUAAUUUUAUGACCUCGUAACAGAGCGCUUGUUAAGUUUUAAAAGCAUCGAAAAUUUAUCGGAUCUAAACAAUAUACCGAAACCUUGUCCAUAUUAUUUUAUAAUUAAAUCUUAAUUAUAAUUAAAUGGGGUAGCAGAACGUUGAGCUAAAUUAAGAUUUUUAUUUUUUAAAUGAAAUUAUAAUAAUUUAACUCAAGUGAUAAUGGUGACAUGAGUAACUAAAAGAAAAAAUAAAAUUUUUCCGCCUAAAGCUUAUGGAUGUAAUUAAGUAACGGCCUCUAAGUUUAUAUUAUCUAAAGAUUUAAACGAUGAGAUAAUCUUUUGUACUAAGGACGACAUUUUAAGUGAAAAAUGUACUGGAAAAAUAGUACUAAAUUAAUGGGUAUAGCUAAUUAGUUAGCUAUAGCUAUAAAUGAAAAGUAACCGUACCUAGAAUCUGAAACAAGUAAGCUAGUAGAGAAUACGAAGGCGUAAAUGAGCUAACAAUCAUAAAGGAACUCGGCAAAUUGACUACCGUAACUUCGGGAUAAGGAGAGCUCAUUAUUCUUGAUUAAUAUCAGGUAAAGAGGAAGAAGCAUGAAAUAGUGUUGUACGACUGUUUAAUUAAAACACAGCACUUUGCUGAAAGAUUAAAAAUCUAAGUAUAGAGUGUGAUGUCUGCCCGGUGCCGGCUGGUUAACAGAUAUAAUUAAAUAUACUAAUAUUUGAUGUAGACGGAAACCCCGGUUAAAGGCGGCCUUAACGUGAGGGUCCUAAGGUAGCGAAAUGCCUUGGCCGUUAAAUGCGGUCUUGCAUGAAUGAUGUAACGAUACAACAGCUGUCUCUAUGAUUGACUCAGUGAAAUUGGAAUAGCUGUGCAGAUACAGUUUACCUCUAGUUAGACGAGAAGACCCUAUGCAGCUUUACUGUCACUAAUUAUAGAGUAUGAUAAACAAUUUUCAGAUUAUAAGGUAAUUGACGGCUAGCUUGUUCAGCAAGCUAGCUCUAUGACAAUGAGAAUCCUUUAUUUUUUUUUCAUAUGAAUGAAUUGGUUUAGGAUUAUGAGUAGGUAGCGGCUUCUGCUACUUGGCGCAAGCAUUGCUUGCGUCAGGUGUCUGAAGUAUGCAUUCCAGCUCAUGCAUAGUAAAUCAACCUAAUUCAGCUUAUUUUCCUUUCUGCCAUAAGCGCAUAAUGAUAGAUUUAACUUAAAUUUUGAUUUAUGCCAGCUGCAGAAAUAGAUAAGUACCCUUGGCUAAGGAACUAUCGCUAGGGGACAGUUUAUGUGGGGCACAGACCCUGUAAAGAGUAAACAGGAGUGUCUAAUAAUUUAUAAUUAUUUUGUUUGCGAUUUAAGAUAGUAAAACUAUUUUUAAUCAUAUAAAAUUAUUUAUAUGUACAUUCGUUGUAUAUAUAUUUAAAAAAAGGUAGGAUUUUCACUAUAUAGAAAUUAGAGAUAAUAAAAAUAUUAAGAAUAUACGUUUCAGGCUGGGAGGGGGAAACUCCUCCCAGCCUGAAAGGUAGCACUAAUAUUUUUUAGCUAUUAAGACAGGCUAUCAAGCUAGGCUCUAAUAGUUAUGUAUUAAUUAUCUAAAAAGCUCAACGGCUAAAUCUUGCCUUACUGUUUGAUUAUCAACAAAUCUUACAGUUGCGUAAGCAGGGCAUAGGAUCACAAGAUGCAACAAGGAAAGAUCUUGGAUUAUUGGAAAAGCUACGCUAGGGAUAACAGGCUAAUUUGCGCAAGAGUGUACAAAAUGAGUGCGCGGUUUGGCACCUCGAUGUCGGCUUAACUUAUCCUCAUGGAUGCAGGAACUAUGUAGGGUGCGACUGUUCGUCGAUUAAAAAGUUACAUGAGCUGGGUUAAAUACGUCGUGAGACAGUAUGGUUUCUAUCUUCUAGGGGGAAUUAGAAUAUAAUAAGAACUAACUUUUGUACGAAAGGAACAAGAAGAAUUUAAUUUGUAAAAGGGUUAAAUAAUAGUUACUAACCUAUGGUUUACCUGUUGUCUAUGUGCCCAAAUAUUAAAAUAUAUAUGGAGGAAGCUCCUUAAGAGCUUCCCCCGCAAAUUAUAUAUAUCUGUAUAGCUAGCCUGCGGACUCCGGUUAUGCCUGAGUUUGGCAAGCUAAAGCUAUACAUAGGGAUGUUUCUUUCACUAAGAUAAAUAUAUAGCAUAGGCACGGCAGGAAAGCUAAGUUGGUUAAGGAUAAGUGCUGAAAGCAUAUAGGCACGAAGCUUAUCUUAAGAUAUUUCUUAAAUAUACGUAAAAUAUUAUUACGAAGGAUGUAAUAUAGGCUUUAUCCGUACGAAUCAGGAGAUUUUUAAGAAUAAAGUACUAAUUUUAUAAAUAACUAUUUAU
rnacentral:rRNA from 1 species